rnacentral:rRNA from 1 species
AUGGAUCCGGCCGCCAACGGCGACAAGCCCUCCGACGAGCAGCAGCAGUUCGAUCCCAGCCGGAUGAUUGGCAUCAUCAAAAGGAAGGCCUUGAUUAAAGACCUAGCCGCUGCUUACCAUGCUGAGUGUGUAGCAUGUUGUAAAGAGCUUCUCGAGCUUCAGAGAAAAUGGGAGGAGGAGCAAUGCGUCGAAGCUAAGAUGCCUGAAGUGCCAAAACCAUCUUCGACGAAGCCUUCUAAGCGCAGGAAGAGGUAG